rnacentral:rRNA from 1 species
CCGCAUUUGGUCUCCGCUGCACUGCAGCAGUCUGCACGACAGGGCAGGGUAGGAAAGGAGGCGACGCCGCCGGCUGCCAGGCGCACCAUGCCUUCCUCCUCCUCCCUCUACCCGGAACACCGCGUGGUCACCGCAGCCGAACUCAUCGCCGGCAAUGAUGCCAAGGAAACGAGGGCCACGGGCGCCGAGGGCUUCGCCUCGCUCCUGCGCACCCAGGACGAGGUCGACGCGCUCUGCGACAAGUACGGCGUGCCCAAGGAGUUCACCGCGCGGCCCGCCGGCGACCUGCGCGCGAACUCGACGCCGCCGCCGGGGGCCAUCUGCGUGUACGCGCGCGCGCUGGAGGCCGGGAUGCGCGUCCCGCUGCGCGGCUUCUUCCGCGAGGUCCUCGCCCACUUCGGCAUCGCGCCGGCGCAGCUCACGCCCAACGGGUGGCGCUUCAUGGCGGGCUUCCUCGUGCUCUGCGAGUCCGCCGGCGUCCCUCCCUCGGUCGCGGUGUUCCGGCGCUUCUUCCACCUGUCCAUCAUGGACCAAAAGCACGAGAAAGGGUGGUACUUUUUCCGAUCCAGGCGGGACAUCACAAGCUUGCCGAACGGGGGUUGCAAAACCACCCCGGGCUGGAGACACGAGUUCUUCUUCCUCUCGUCGCCGGAGCCGUGGCCUUGCGCCGUGGAGUGGGGCGAGCCGUCCAACGGCUCCUUCCUCGACCCGGCGCUCACCGUUGAGGAAAACAAAUCGGUGGUGAAGCUGAGCGCUCACGGUGGCGCCGCUGUUGAUCUCAGGAACCUGCUCCCUGCUGGGCGCUGCCGUAUCUGCGCCGUUGUCGAUCUCAGGAACCUGCUCCCUGCUACGUGCCCACGGCGGCGGCGGAGUAACCUUGCUGCCGCAUCCCCGCCGCCGCGGCCUUCUUCGUGUUACAAAGGCAUGGAUCCCUCCGUCCACGACAUGAUGAAGACUAUGCCGGCGGACAAGGUGGCCGCGCAAGCGUCGGCGUCGGCAAAGAAGAGGACUUGGGAGGAAGCCAGCGGCAGGCACGACGGACACACCACAGACUGGGAUGGCGGACGGGAGCUGCUGCAGGAAACCGUCGCGCCGUCGUUGGAGCGCGCGUUCGCGGCGAGCGAGCCUUCCGACGGCGCAGCGAUUCGGCGGGCUGCGAACUGCGUGCUCGAACUUGGGGAGAAGCUGGUGGCCAGGGAGCGCGACGCCGCGGCUCUGCGGGAGCAGCUGGAGGAGGCAAAGGCCGAGCUCGCGGCGGCGAAGUGGGCGGCGGACGUGGAGCUUGAGAAGGCACAGUCCGAGCUCGCUGCGGCGGGAGCGGAGCUGGAGAAGACCAAAGCGGAGCUCGCGGCGGUGGAGGCGGAGGUGGUGAAGACGAAGGCCGAGCUCUCCGCGUCUCUUGUGGAGGCUGAGCUCGCCGCGGCAAAGCAAGCGGCGGAGGCGGUGAAGACGAAGGCCGAGCGCGCUGCGGCCUGGGAGGAGGUGGUGAAGACGAAGGACGAGCUCGCCGCCGCGGAGGCAGAGCUGGUGCAGGCCAAGGCCGAGCUCACCGCGGCGAAGCGCGCCGCGGAGACGGAGCUGGUGAAGACUAAGGCCAAGCUUGCCGCGGUGGAGGCGGAGCUGGAGAGCGCCAAGGCGGCAGCGGUGCAGCAGUUCCUGGCCUCCGAGGAGCAGGUGCGCCAGCGCGCGGAGGACGCGCUGGAGGGGUACAAGCGGUGGCGAGGUCAUCAAGCUCCGGCUGGCCGUGCUGCCUGA